GUAUCCUCGAGAGCUAUUAACUUUUACUCUUAAAGUUACUAUCAAAGUUAAUAGUUUCAAAUUAUUAAGAGUAAAAGCUAUCCUCGUCAACUUUGAGUGUAGGUAUUAGCAAAUCCUGGCUACUAUUAUCUUCUUCUUCUUCUUCUUUAUGGCGGGCUCGUUGCUAAGGACGCCUCCGUGCAAAACGUAAACAUCCGACAUGAAUUAAGUAUAUAUUUCAAAAGAAAAAUAAAGAAAAGAUGUAUAAAUGUACAACAGAAACAUAAUAAAUGGCAAACACAAGAAAAUACUGAGUUUUGUGGCAGAUAGAAGCAGCCUCAAAGGCUGUUUUUACUCCGUCACUCGUCAAUACCCUUAUCUCCCCGCCUGCGUCACGACUUGCUCUGCUGAAAUUACCGCACCAUAACCACGUCAUCUGCCCCAAUGAUCUACGGGCCGGAGAACCAGCGCAGAAAAGGAGUAAGUUUAAUUGGUCGCCAGAUGAAACGGUCUUCUUACAUCAAAUUCAAGAAAAAAUACGUAUAAUCAGAGGGUGUUAUGGGAAGAGUAUCACCCCUGAGGAUAAGAAGAGAGCGUGGACUGAAGUGGCAGAAGCUGUAACAAGUGCCUUCCCUGGGAGUGGACCCCGUACGCAGGAUGACUGUGAGAGGCGUUGGUACAACGUACAACAAAAAUCAAAGCCUUGCAUUGCCAAGUGCAAGAAUGAGCAGCAGCAGACUGAUACACACUUUAUCAGUAUUGCUAGAGACCAUCCCAGCACAUUGUUCAUUACUUGUGGAAAAGAUACCAUUAGCUGCUCCGGCAACAGCCACCGCUUCAAUAUCUGCUGGCCCUAUGACACCAGCCACUGCUUCAUCAUCUACUGGCCCAAUG